UACGUAGGCAGCGAGCGUUGUUCGGAGUUACUGGGCGUAAAGUGUGCGCAGGCGGCAGAGCAAGUCGAGUGUGAAAGCCCCGGGCUUAACUUGGGAAUUGCGCUCGAAACUACUUUGCUGGAGUGUGGCAGAGGAAGGUGGAAUUCCACGUGUAGCGGUGAAAUGCGUAGAGAUGUGGAGGAACACCAAUGGUGAAGGCAGCCUUCUGGGCCAACACUGACGCUCAUGCACGAAAGCGUGGGGAGCAAACAGG
rnacentral:rRNA from 1 species